rnacentral:rRNA from 1 species
CUACGGGACGCACCAGUGGGGAAUAUUGCACAAUGGGCGAAAGCCUGAUGCAGCGACGCCGCGUGAGGGAUGAAGGUCUUCGGAUUGUAAACCUCUUUCAGUAGGGACGAAGCGAAAGUGACGGUACCUAAAGAAGAAGCACCGGCUAACUACGUGCCAGCAGCCGCGGUAAUACGUAGGGUGCAAGCGUUGUCCGGAUUUAUUGGGCGUAAAGAGCUCGUAGGCGGUUAGACACGUCGGAUGUGAAAACUGGUGGCUCAACCACCAGCCUGCAUUCGAUACGGUCUGACUUGAAUGUGGUAGGGGUAACUGGAAUUCCUGGUGUAGCGGUGAAAUGCGCAGAUAUCAGGAGGAACACCGAUGGCGAAGGCAGGUUACUGGGCCAAUAUUGACGCUGAGGAGCGAAAGCGUGGGGAGCAAACAGGAUUAGAUACCCGAGUAGUC